rnacentral:tRNA from 1 species
GCCUGGGUGGCUCAGUCGGUUGAGCAUCCGACUUUGGUGCAGGUCAUGAUCUCGCAGUUCGUGGGUUCGAGCCCCACGUCAGGCU